rnacentral:rRNA from 2 species
GCUCGUAGUUGGAUUUCGGGUGGGUUCUAGCGGUCCGCCUAUGGUGAGUACUGCUAUGGCCUUCCUUUCUGUCGGGGACGGGCUUCUGGGCUUCACUGUCCGGGACUCGGAGUCGACGUGGUUACUUUGAGUAAAUUAGAGUGUUCAAAGCAGGCUUACGCCCUGAAUACUUUAGCAUGGAAUAACACGAUAGGACUCUGGCCUAUCUUGUUGGUCUGUAGGACUGGAGUAAUGAUUAAGAGGGACAGUCGGGGGCAUUCGUAUUUCAUUGUCAGAGGUGAAAUUCUUGGAUUUAUGAAAGACGAACUACU